rnacentral:rRNA from 1 species
UACAGAGGUCUCAAGCGUUGUUCGGAUUCAUUGGGCGUAAAGGGCGCGUAGGCUGCGGGGCAAGUCGGGUGUGAAAUCUCAGAGCUCAACUCUGAAACUGCACUCGAUACUGCUUUGCUUGAGGACUGGAGAGGAGAUUGGAAUUCACGGUGUAGCAGUGAAAUGCGUAGAUAUCGGGAGGAACACCUGUGGCGAAAGCGGCUCACUGGACCACAACUGACGCUGAUGCACGAAAGCUAGGGGAGCAAACAGG